GAUGAACGCUGGCGGCAUGCCUAAUACAUGCAAGUCGAACGAAGUUUCGAGGAAGCUUGCUUCCAAAGAGACUUAGUGGCGAACGGGUGAGUAACACGUAGGUAACCUGCCCAUGUGUCCGGGAUAACUGCUGGAAACGGUAGCUAAAACCGGAUAGGUAUACAGAGCGCAUGCUCAGUAUAUUAAAGCGCCCAUCAAGGUGUGAACAUGGAUGGACCUGCGGCGCAUUAGCUAGUUGGUGAGGUAACGGCCCACCAAGGCGAUGAUGCGUAGCCGGCCUGAGAGGGUAAACGGCCACAUUGGGACUGAGACACGGCCCAAACUCCUACGGGAGGCAGCAGUAGGGAAUUUUCGUCAAUGGGGGAAACCCUGAACGAGCAAUGCCGCGUGAGUGAAGAAGGUCUUCGGAUCGUAAAGCUCUGUUGUAAGUGAAGAACGG
rnacentral:rRNA from 1 species